rnacentral:rRNA from 1 species
CGAGCGCUCUCUUCGGAGGGAGCGGCGAACGGGUUAGUAACGCGUGGGAACGUGCCCUUUUCUACGGAAUAGCCUCGGGAAACUGAGAGUAAUACCGUAUACGCCCUUUGGGGGAAAGAUUUAUCGGAGAAGGAUCGGCCCGCGUUGGAUUAGGUAGUUGGUGGGGUAAUGGCCUACCAAGCCGACGAUCCAUAGCUGGUUUGAGAGGAUGAUCAGCAACACUGGGACUGAGACACGGCCCAGACUCCUACGGGAGGCAGCAGUGGGGAAUCUUAGACAAUGGGCGCAAGCCUGAUCUAGCCAUGCCGCGUGAGUGAAGAAGGCCCUAGGGUCGUAAAGCUCUUUCGCCAGGGAUGAUAAUGACAGUACCUGGUAAAGAAACCCCGGCUAACUCCGUGCCAGCAGCCGCGGUAAUACGGAGGGGGUUAGCGUUGUUCGGAAUUACUGGGCGUAAAGCGCGCGUAGGCGGACUGGAAAGUUGGGGGUGAAAUCCCAGGGCUCAACCCUGGAACUGCCUCCAAAACUAUCAGUCUAGAGUUCGAGAGAGGUGAGUGGAAUUCCGAGUGUAGAGGUGAAAUUCGUAGAUAUUCGGAGGAACACCAGUGGCGAAGGCGGCUCACUGGCUCGAUACUGACGCUGAGGUGCGAAAGUGUGGGGAGCAAACAGGAUUAGAUACCCUGGUAGUCCACACCGUAAACGAUGAAUGCCAGUCGUCGGGCAGUAUACU